rnacentral:rRNA from 1 species
GAUGAACGCUGGCGGCGUGCCUAAUACAUGCAAGUCGAGCGAACAGAUGAGGAGCUUGCUCCUCUGACGUUAGCGGCGGACGGGUGAGUAACACGUGGAUAACCUACCUAUAAGACUGGGAUAACUUCGGGAAACCGGAGCUAAUACCGGAUAAUAUAUUGAACCGCAUGGUUCAAUAGUGAAAGACGGUUUUGCUGUCACUUAUAGAUGGAUCCGCGCCGCAUUAGCUAGUUGGUAAGGUAACGGCUUACCAAGGCAACGAUGCGUAGCCGACCUGAGAGGGUGGUCGGCCACACUGGAACUGAGACACGGUCCAGACGCCUACGGGAGGCAGCAGUAGGGAAUCUUCCGCAAUGGGCGAAAGCCUGACGGAGCAACGCCGCGUGAGUGAUGAAGGUCUUCGGAUCGUAAAACUCUGUUAUUAGGGGAGAACAAAUGUGUAAGUAACUAUGCACGUCUUGACGGUACCUAAUCAGAAAGCCACGGCUAACUACGUG